rnacentral:lncRNA from 1 species
AGGGCCUCUCCUAAGGGAGUUCUUUUAGACCAGUGUUCAAUUCAUGCAGUGUUCCAUAACCGCCACCAGGGGGCACCAGGCUCCUGGUAGGCUUGAGGGUGGAGACUAGUGUCCAGGCAGAGAAAGCCUGACUGGUAACAUUGGCGUCUGGGAUCCCUGGGGUGUCAACCAACUUGGAAAAGCUGUAAAACUCUUUGCAUCCCAGGCCUUUCAAGAAACAAGACAGGCUUUGGCUGUGUGCUUGUGAGUGAAAUGGCCCGUGGGAUUGUUUCAAGCUGCCUUCAAACUCUGUGUGGCUUCAGGCCAUCUUCUUAACCUCUCUGAGCUCCAGGGAGCUCCCUGUGUGUAAGUGGGAGAAUGACCUAAAGAAUGGGGGGAAAUCACUGAUGCGGACGCUUAGUUUUGUGCAGGCCAGAUGAGGCUCGGGUCUCUGGGUAAGCUUAACGGCUGUUGUUAUCAGCGGUGGUUUCCAGGGGGACCGUCCUAUCUGUCACUGUCCUCUCGGAGAUGUUUCCUGGCUCCUGCUGGUUUUUAAUGUUACUAAUCUCCCGUUGAUUAUUCCUGGGGCUUCAGCCAAAUAAGCUACUUCCAAUUAAAGCCGUUGCUGGAGCUGAGUUGGUUGCUGUGGCAACGGGGGCAGGUUUGUACUUCUUUCCUGGAAUAUGCGCAUGCAUGCAUGUGAGCCUUUCCAGGGGCCUCUUUCCGUGGGCCUCUCCAUUCCCAGAUUCACUCCCGGAGGUGUCAGGUGUUGGACCCUGGAGGACUCGGGAGGCUCCGCCCCCUCGGUCCCUCAGCCCCUGGAUAAGAAAGGCUGCGCCCCCUAGUGCCGCUCAGCCCCUGGUGUAGCAGAGCCACUCUCGGGAAAGCAAGCAAAUUCCCAUGCAAAUACCUUGUUCAUUCUGAGUAUCCUUGGAGUCCCGUCCAACCAUGCUAACAGGAGGAGACCAUCUUGGGUGAGGUCCGGUUCUGUCUGAGUCUUCAGAGCAUGGCAGUGUGUGUGUGUGUGUGUGUGUGUGUGUGUGUUGUAAGCCAAGGCUCAGUCGUAGGAAACAUAAACACAGGAGGGAGGAUGCUGUCUGGACACAGGGCUCUGCAUCUUCACUGUGGGGCCACCUUGCUGACACGGGCAUUCUGCAUACGAUAUGCCCAGGGUGCUUACAGCUUGGUGGAGGAGCUUGCAGUAACAUAUUCGAUGUCAUGACCCCUCUGCUGACCCAGUUCCAGCUUCUGCCAGGAGUUCCCCUGUAUAGGGAGGCAGCCAUCAGCUUUGAGUCUUUCCACCCCUAUGGGGCCCUGGGACCAUUGCCGUUGUCAUGAUGAGAGAGAGCUGUGGCCCUGGAUUUGAAAGGUUGGAGUUUACCCAGACUGUCUUGGGACUGAUGGCAUAUUCCAGCCAUGGAGGGGUAGCCUUUACGUGGUUCAUUUGACUGUUUGGCAGUGGCCUUCAGUGAUGGGUUCUGGGAACUGCAGAUGGUUUCCAUGGCUAUUUCUACCUCUGAGCAAUGCUUCUCUGUAUAGAAACCGUGUCUGUCAGGCGACUGACAGAGCCUGUCCAUUCCCAGCAUCUGAAAUGACGGAGGCUCACGUGGGUGAGGAACCAUUUUCUGACACUUUAGAGCCCUAGAAGGUCUUACCAGCUGACCUUAUCUUGAUGUACCACAUACACAAAUGUGCACACCUAUGUGAACACACACAGAUGAGCCUGCACACACUGGCUCAUGUGCAAGUGUGUAUAUCUACAAAGACACUGGCUUGUGUAGGCAUACAUUUUUUGCAACCUACUUUUAAUAAGGGUUCAAGCUCUCCUCUGGCCCAUCACCCAGCAAAGGUAGUGGAAGAGAAAAGUUAUUAGGAUAUGGGGAAAGUGGACCUGUUCAGCUAUUGUUCUUUGGGAGUGAUCUUCUCUGGCAGCCGUUCAGUUCUGUAGCAAACACCAAAUGCAACUCAGCAGCUGCAGACCAGCCCUCUAGGAAGGCAGGCUCCAGGCACGAACCAGCAGCUGUAGUUCAAUCCAGAAGAAGCAGUCAGGCUUGCCAACCAGCCUGAAGUGAGACCACAGAAGUGGCAACUUGCCUCAGGAAGCCUGUCAGCAGUGGGUGAGCUUCUCUCAAUGGCAGCUCAACAAUGGCAUGUAAGGCGAACCAGUACAUGCGUGUUGUUAGCGAAGAAUAGUGAGGCAGAGCAAACCAAACCAAUGCUCACAGCUCAUCUCCCACUGUGUGUAUGUGUGUGUGUGAGUGUGUGUGUGUGUGUGUGUGUGUGAGUGUGUGUGUGUCUGUAUGUGUGUCAGUGUGUGUCUGGGUGUGUCAAUGUGUGUGAGUGUAUGUCUCUGUGUGUGUGAGAGUGAAUGUAUCUGUGAGUGUGUACGUCUGUGUGUGUGUGUGUCUGUGUGUGAGUGUAUGUGUGUGUGUGCUCACGUGGGCCUGCUGGACCACAUGGACCAAUGGUUCCUAUUCAUGUCUUGUUCAUACUUUUAACCUCAUUCUUCCUUUUGUUAUUGCUCCCUCUUCUGUAACCAUGUGCUCUCCCUCUGGUUCACUCAACCAAUAACAUAACUACACUUCACCCACCUAGACUGUCCAUCCACCCCACCCCACCCCCUCCAUCCAUCCAUCUAUCCAUCCACCCAUCCAUCUGUCUAUCUAUCCACCCACCAACCCAUCCACCUCCAUCCAUUCAUCUCUCCUCCCCUCCUGUGCCUUCCAUUAACCCAUCCUCUUCCCACCCACCUAUCAAUUCCCUAUCUAUAUAAUCACCCCACCAUGUGCCAAAGCUGUACCAUUGAAAUGAAAAGAUAAAAAUCUAUGCCUUAUAGAAAAUAUAACCAUUCACCUUUUCUCAUCUAUCCAUCCAUCUGUUUAUCCUUUAUCCCAUAGCUUUGUUAGGGAUCAAGGAAGGUUAGACUUCUUUGGCUAAUGGGAUAUAAGCAGAAGCACUGUGUGUUCUUACUGGAUGGAUAUUUUGGAGACGCACCAUGUUCCCAUGAUCCUCUUGCUCCUUCACAUCAGGCAUUAGCACAUCGGGCAUAUCCUGUUCCAUCCGCUCAGGUCCAAGAGUGAGGGACAUGGUGAUGCUUAGAGCUCACAGCACAGCGUACACAGCACACACACAGCACCACACACACACAGCGUACACAGCACAGCACCUGCACUACUCCUGACCUGUACUUAGAAAGAAUCAGACUCAUCUACAAGCCAGUUGCUUUCUGUUGUUUCUGUGGCAACCUGUGCAGUCUGGCUGACAGACACAAAAUGACAGAUUGGUUCCAGAUGGUUCUGCCUGUGUGCACUCCACCCUCAGUGUCUGGAGUGUCUGUCUUAGUCUAUCCUUAACUGCUUGGGGAUGGGCCUUUUUAACGCAUUAAAUACUUUAGAGCCAAUCUGAAAGGUUGAGAGGAACCCCAUGCUAAGUUCCCUUUGACUGGAAGGGAGGCUGCGCCUGUAGGAGGGGUACAAGCUUCUCUGGCUUUCUUCUCUUGCAAGUGUGUGAGUGUGCAAAUGUGCACACACUCAGGAAAGCCAGAGGCUGAACUCAGGCGUCAUUUCUUGGGCAUCGUCUACCUUUUAGUCUCGAAUUAGGGUCUUACACUGGCCCAGAACUGGCCAAGUAGACUAACUAAACUCUGAUCAGUGAGCCUCAGAGGUCUGUCUACCUCUACCUACCUAGUGCUGGGAUUACAAGCAUCUGGCCUUUAAAACAUGGGUUCUGGGGGUCAAAUUCAGGUCUUCAUGCUUGCCACGUGGUGUAGUUAGCUUAGUUGUCAACUCAACAUAAAACUGGGUAUACCUGGGAAGAGGGGAUCUCAACUGGGGAACUGAAGCAUCAUCAAAUUGGCCUGUGGGCAUGUCAAAUAUUUUCUUAGUGGCUAAUUGGUGUGAAAGGGGGCCUGGGCCAUAGAAGAAAGGUAGCCAGCCAUCUCACAUCCCUCCUUUGGUUUCUACUUUAAGUUGCUACGUUGGCUUCCCUUGAUGACAGACUUCAAGUUGAAGAUGAAAUAAAUCCUUUUCCCUGC